CGCGCAAUGGCCGCUAGGAGAACGCGACGCGGACCUGCGGCGGCUGCUGACCGCGUUGGACUCGCGGCCGCGGGC
rnacentral:tRNA from 1 species